ensembl:lncRNA
CACACACACACACACACACACACACACACACUUACACACACACACACACACACACACACACACACACACACACACACACACACACACACACAGACUCACUCACACACAUCAUGACCCCUUUUAAUCACACCUGGAAGUGGAGAUGAUCAAUGUUCCCCCUGACUGGUGAUGUGUAGCAAUGCUCAGAGCCCUGCUGAAUCCUGCAGCUCUCUAGUGAUUUUGAUUGUGUUGCAGCGGGUGGCUGAACUGUAUCAGAAUUGGCUGGUGAACACAGUGUUAUGACUAUUGCUAGUUAUUAUAUGCCUGACCUGUCACCACCCGUAUAUCACUGCAUUGUCUUGAUCCCACUCACCUGGAGCAGGUAAAUGUACCUGGGCCAGUAGGACAGCUGUCACCUGCUUGCCCACAAGCCACAGCAUGUUGGAGACAUUGGGGAGCAGGAUCUGGGGCCAGGUGACUCCUUGACCACAGACUCAUCAGGAGGUUCUGUAUGUCUCCAGAGUUGCUGUAGAAUCUUGUUCAAGUAGGGCUAUGCAACAAGAAGACACUUUGAAAAUAUACUUCAUCCAUUCUGUAGCUUUACCUGCUGGGUAAUCCAGAUUCAGGCUUCAGCAUGAUUGUGACCAAAUGUUUUCUAUAAAAAAAGAUGUAAAAUGAAGAAAAAAUAUAUUUUAAAAAACGUAUAACGGCACAAUGACUUAAAAGGCAGAUCCUUAGAAUACAUUUAAAAAAAUGAAUCAAAAACAGCAAGUUUAUAUAUUUGCAUGCAUCAGGUUUGCCCAUUUUGUUGAAGGAAAACAGGUGUUUAAAAGAAACAAAAAACAGUGCAGGUUAUAUUUGUAUGUGGCCUGACUGAUCAGUUACCAAGGGGUACUUGGCUAAAAGAAUGGGCAUAAAAUGUCAGCAGACGUCCUCAGAUUUAUGAUUUUGAUUUGAAGUGUAGAGCAAAUUCUUUGCAUUCAUCAUUCAUUUCAUAGUUUCCUAUGAAAUGUCUCUGUAGCUGGUCAACUGUAAUGCAUUUGUUUUGUAUGCCUUUACUCUCAUCAUCUCAACUCUUUUAAUGGCACAGUGCAUUCACAUGAACGCUUCCACACAUACACACACACACCAUCUACACCCUCUCUCUAAGUUGACCAAAUAUGAAAUCUCACCAGUUCCUCUCUGCACACUUCUUCCAGUUUUAAUGUGGCGUUUCCUCUUGAAAAAAAGUAAUGUUUGCAUGGUCUGAAAAAAUGUAUGUGCACGUUUACAUACACAUUGUUUAUCUUCGUACAUUUUGAUACAGUGUGUUAUUUAGUUUAUUUUUAAAUUACCUUUGAUAUAAAUUAUGGGGUUUGUUGAAAAAAAAACCUUUAUAUCGAUAUAUUGAAAAAAUACAGUAUUGAAAAAAAUGUGGUCAGUUCCUUCCAUGUAACAAAGUUGGAACAUACCUUAUUUUGGUUCUGCAACUGAUCGUUUGUUGCCUGAUUUAUGUUCAAUGGCCAGACUUUGAAUUCUGCUGUUGUUUUUACUUAAACAUUUUGUAGGAAGCGAAGUCCUUGAAAUUAAAAAAAAAACUAAAAAAGAAAUAAACACAAUAACGUUGACUGCUGACUCUGUUAUUGGUCGCCUCUUUGAGACAGACUGUUAUUUUGUGAAUUAGUUUUUAAGGUAUCAUGUCAGUCAUGCCGUUUAAUAAAGUACUUUUUCAGGUUAGCUGUCUUAGUUCUAGAAGUGUAGUUGUCCCAUGUAGAUUUGACUCGGUUAUUUUAUUGGCCUGCACUGGUAAUGUGGGCGGGGAUCAUCUGGGUACACUUGCUUGUGAUGAAGUUGCUGCUGGAUCAGAAGAGUGAAGACUGCGGGUGCCAGGGGUCUGGUUAUGCAUUAGCCUACUUUCUGAUAAUAGUACAAACCUACAACAAAUCUAUAUUUCGUUAAAAAAAUAUUUUGGGUAGGACAUGGUAAGAAAAAGCUGCUGUGAGUUUAGUAGUUCAUGCAUGCAUGGUGCAGAAAUAUAUUAAUAACAACGUAAAACGAGUUGGUUAGGGAUCUAAAGUAGCAGGUAAUAAUCAACUCAACAGAAAUUAGCAUCAUGUGGUUGCUUCAAGUGUCCUUUGCCAUAGCCGCCCUGCGUUCCAUUUACGCAGUUCAUAUGGAUUCCUCUGAAGUGGGUUCUGGGACACAUUACACAGAGAUUGUGAACCUCCUAGAACACAUUUCAGGGUUGGACAGCAAUAAUGUAACUCUGUCAGAAGAGGAUUCAAAGUGUCCCGUUCUUCAAAUCGGUGUGUACUCUACCCUGGCAAUGCCUGCAGCUGAGGCCUUUGGAUUAAGGUUUGCAGAGGAGUUCAGCAUCCUCGUGCAGUUGCGGAGCUCCCAGGACGUGGACCGCAGCCUGCUGACCCUGCUUAACUUCCAAAACCACAUCCUGCUGCAGCUCCGCCUCAGCCCCUACAGCCUCACCUUCAUCAGCACACAGCAGCGAGACUACGAGUUUCCGGUUUCAAUAUCUGAUUCCCAGUGGCACUAUAUCUCUAUUGGAGUGUCCUCCAAAGGGCUGACACUGUAUGUAGACUGUGUCCUGGUUGAGAGAGUGAAGUGGGUUUACCCCUACAUGGGCAUUACUACUGAAGGACUUCUGACUGUAGGUGGGAUCCUUGAAGGAUUUGAGACACCGUUUGAAGGAGAGCUGAGACAGAUGACCUUCCUGAUGGGAGACUCAGACACCGCAAAAGAUCACUGCACCCUCUACAGCACCGAGUGUGGAGUCUCAAAGGCUCCGCGGUCCACACACAAAACACAGGUCCCUAAUCUUUCCUUGAAUGUCAGUGAUCUAACAAAACAUAACACAAAAUGGGAUCUUCACACCUUAGACCUUAAGAAUGUGAGCUUUACGGUGGAGAACGACGUUGAAGCUGAUAAACCCCCAGUAAUCACUACAAAGAGUACCAGCAAAGGAACCAAUGACCGGAGAGUUCUCACCUCUAUUGAAGCUUUGAGCCAAAACACAAGCACAGACCGGAGAAAAACACAAACGGGACCUUUAGACAACAUCAUUGACCUUGAUUCACCCUCUGCCACUGAUUUAGAAAAGUCCUUACAGCACCCCACUGAAACCCAAUAUAAACAGCCUGACCGAAACGUACUGAGGACUGAGGAGGACCUCCUGCCACCCACUAUAUCAUCUGACCCUUUGAAAAAUGGACCAAAGACGGCCACAGAGGACUAUGGAGGACAGGACAGGAUCCAAGUGAUUGGCAUUGAGCACGCCACCGUGCAGCAGGCUUUUCCAAAGCAUGGAGAUAUUAUCACAGGUCUGGAUGGAAGGCCGUAUAAACUCUUGAGAGGAGCUCCAGGACCACUUGGGCCUCCCGGGCGGAGAGGAUGUGCUGGGCGUGAAGGUUUUGUUGGGUUUCAAGGUGACAAGGGCUCCCAGGGCCCAGUUGGGAGGGUCGGGUUGAGGGGGGAGCCGGGACCCCCGGGAUUUCCCGGCCUGCCGUCUCUCUAUCUGUGGCGGAACACCCCGGAGGACUGGGCGGCAUUUAGGAGAACAUCUUUUUUUCAAGCUAUUAACUCAGGAUGGCCUGUAAGUAUAACAUAAAUACCAGCAUUUACACUCGGUAUUGAAAAACACCCUAUCUUCUGUGGGUUGUGUGCUUAUUAGGACAUGUCAGUGUAAGAUAAUGGUUUAUGGUAGCUUCCUACUGUUAGCAACAUUAGCAACACACACGAGCAACAUUAGCAACACACACGAGCAACAUUAGCAGCACACACAAGCAACAUUAGCAACACAGACAAGCAACAUUAGCAGCACACACAAGCAACAUUAGCAACACAGACAAGCAACAUUAGCAGCACACACAAGCAACAUUAGCAACACACACAAGCAACAUUAGCAACACACACAAGCAACAUUAGCAACACACACAAGCAACAUUAGCAACACACACAACACAGC